rnacentral:rRNA from 1 species
GUGGGGAAUCUUAGACAAUGGGCGCAAGCCUGAUCUAGCCAUGCCGCGUGAGCGAUGAAGGCCUUAGGGUUGUAAAGCUCUUUCAGUGGGGAAGAUAAUGACUGUACCCACAGAAGAAGCCCCGGCUAACUCCGUGCCAGCAGCCGCGGUAAUACGGAGGGGGCUAGCGUUGUUCGGAAUUACUGGGCGUAAAGCGCACGUAGGCGGACUGGAAAGUCAGGGGUGAAAUCCCGGGGCUCAACCCCGGAACUGCCUUUGAAACUCCCAGUCUUGAGGUCGAGAGAGGUGAGUGGAAUUCCGAGUGUAGAGGUGAAAUUCGUAGAUAUUCGGAGGAACACCAGUGGCGAAGGCGGCUCACUGGCUCGAUACUGACGCUGAGGUGCGAAAGCGUGGGGAGCAAACAGGAUUAGAAACCCUAGUAGUCC